GUUUUACUGUGAAGCUCCAGAAAUGUUUCUGGACUCUGAGACUUCACCUGACUUUAUAUCAUCAGGAGGAGGAGACGAGGACUGGAGUGACUUUUAUGGGGGAACUAAUGUCGUCUCCUUUAUUGUAAACUGUUUAAAUUGACAGACUGUGUUACUGACAUCCAGUAAACACAAAGUCCAGUCCUGCCUGUUUACAGUCGCUGCAGAUGAUCAAGGAGUGGCUCCUCCUUCAGACGGCACACUUGCAUAUUUGAGCUGCCUGCUUUCUGUUCACAGCGUCACAGGUGAAGGCGUGCGGUGGAGGAACAGCUGAGCUGUGAGACGAUUUGAUCUGGUAGGUGCUCUUUAAUUUACAAACAGUCACAUUUAUUGGGAUGGAGGGAAACAGGAAACACUGAUGAUACGAUCGAGACUUUUGUAAUAUUAUCUAAUACUUCCUCAUGAUGUUUUUCUAUAUUUGCAUUUCACAUGUUUUAAAAGAACACAGUCACACCCGCUCACCCUGCUGUGACUCUGAUCAUGACAACACAGCUACUGUAUCACAUUCUUUAUCUUUGUUUUUCAGUCCAGUCAUGUCCUCCACCAUCCUGCUGAUCGUCCUUCUGUCUGCACACAUUACAGGUCUGAUCUCAGAGCAGCUUCUCAAAGCCACUGUUGGAGGAUCCGUCCUGUUCCCCUGUUCUCUCCCAGGAUAUCCACUCAGUCUCAACUGGUUUUACUGGCAAGAGGGCGACAAUCUUUUUUUUCGAUGGGAGAAUGGGAAGGAAAUAGAAAUAAAAGACAACAAAUACAAGGGCAGGUUCCAAGUCUUCACUCAUGAGUUUAGUUCUGGAAAUAUCUCCAUCAGACUUGACAACAUUUCUGUUGAGGAUGAUAAGAACACAUUCUUUACCUACGUUAAUUUAUAUGAUGAGCAGAAAAAAGUCACCAAACAGUCUCAAAAACAAUGCAUAUUCACGCUGCAGGUUUCAGCUCCCUACCAGGAUCUGGUCCUGACAGUUAACCACACAACCAACAGUGCAACCUGCUCAGCACGAGGAGGAUACCCUGCAGCUCAGGUAUCAUGGAAGGGUCUGAACAGAUCCAGUGAUGAACAAAUGGACCUGCAGGAUGCUGAGACGUUCCUGCAGCAGGCUCCAACAGAGAAAACCUUCUCCUUCACAAGCUCUGUCAACGUUACAGGGUUAAAGUCUGUAACCUGCAUCGUCUACAACCCUCACUCCAACAAGACCAUUAACAAAACUAUGGAGUUGGUGGAGAUCAACACUGCUGAUCCUCCUGGUGUGUGGAUCACAACGCCAACCUUCUCUACUCCUUCCCAGGAUGAAAACGGGAGGCAUCAUUUUCUAAUAAUUGCAGCUGUUGUCCUCUUCAUCAUCCUCAUCCUCAUCCUUGCUGGUUUCUGUCGGUGGUACAAAAGUCAAUGUCCAGUUCCAGGACCAGUUCUAGAACUGAACCCAGAACCAGACGUCCCUAAUCUCCAAGAUGCAGUUCAAGAAGAAGCUCCAGAUUUAAAUCCAGAUGCAGCUCGAGAACCAGUCGAUCCUAAUCCCCAAGACCCAGUUCAAGAAGAAGCUCCAGCUCCAGAUCAAGCUCCAGGUCCAGAUCAAGAUCAGGAUCCAGAUCAAGCUCCAGGUCCAGAUCAAGAUCAGGAUCCAGAUCAAGCUCCAGGUCCAGAUCAAGAUCAAGAUCAAGAUCAAGAUCAAGAUCAAGAUCCAGAUCAAGCUCCAGGUCCAGAUCAAGAUCAGGAUCCAGAUCAAGCUCCAGGUCCAGAUCAAGAUCAAGAUCAAGCUCCAGGUCCAGAUCAAGAUCAAGCUCAAGGUCCAGAUCAAGAUCAGGAUCCAGAUCAAGCUCCAGGUCCAGAUCAAGAUCAAGCUCCAGGUCCAGAUCAAGAUCAGGAUCCAGAUCAAGCUCCAGGUCCAGACCAAGAUCAGGAUCAGGAUCCAGAUCAAGCUCCAGGUCCAGAUCAAGAUCAGGAUCAGGAUCCAGAUCAAGCUCCAGCCAACCAACCACCAGCCGAACAUGAUCCCCAAGAUGGAGCUGAAGCUGAAGCAGCUGAUCCAUCUGAGGACACUGUUCUACUAUCUAAGGAUCGAGCUGUGUUUCACUGUCAGACAAAGACGAGUGAAGGUACUGCAGACUGCGACACCUGUGAGGACGCUGCUGCUUCACCAGAGAAAGAAAAACUGCUGGAAAAAGAAAAUGGAAAUGAAGACAGCGCCUCUGAUUGA
ensembl:lncRNA